rnacentral:misc_RNA from 1 species
GCAAACUUGGUCAUUUAGAGGAAGUAAAAGUCGUAACAAGGUCUCCGUAGGUGAACCUGCGGAGGGAUCAUUACAAGUGACCCCCGGCUCCGGCAGGGGAUGUUCAUAACCCUUUGUUGUCCGACUCUGUUGCCUCCGGGGCGACCCUGCCUUUCCGGGCGGGGGCCCCGGCUGGACACCACAAAACUCUUGCGUAACUUUGCAGUCUGAGUAAAUUUUAAUUAAUAAAUUAAAACUUUCAACAACGGAUCUCUUGGUUCUGGCAUCGAUGAAGAACGCAGC